AGCGAACGCUGGCGGCAGGCCUAACACAUGCAAGUCGAACGGACCCUUCGGGGUUAGUGGCGGACGGGUGAGUAACACGUGGGAACGUGCCUUUUGGUUCGGAACAACUCAGGGAAACUUGAGCUAAUACCGAAUGUGCCCUUCGGGGGAAAGAUUUAUCGCCAUUAGAGCGGCCCGCGUCUGAUUAGCUAGUUGGUGGGGUAAUGGCCUACCAAGGCGACGAUCAGUAGCUGGUCUGAGAGGAUGAUCAGCCACAUUGGGACUGAGACACGGCCCAAACUCCUACGGGAGGCAGCAGUGGGGAAUCUUGCGCAAUGGGCGAAAGCCUGACGCAGCCAUGCCGCGUGAAUGAUGAAGGUCUUAGGAUUGUAAAAUUCUUUCACCGGGGACGAUAAUGACGGUACCCGGAGAAGAAGCCCCGGCUAACUUCGUGCCAGCCGCCGCCGUAAAAC
rnacentral:rRNA from 1 species